rnacentral:rRNA from 1 species
ACGCUCGACACCUACGAGAGGCAGCAGUGGGGAAUAUUGGGCAAUGGGCGCAAGCCUGACCCAGCAACGCCGCGUGAAGGAAGAAGGCCCUCGGGUUGUAAACUUCUUUUAACAGGGACGAAGUAAGUGACGGUACCUGUUGAAUAAGCCACGGCUAACUACGUGUCAGCAGCCGCGGUAAUCUGAGCGGGCUGGCAAGGC